rnacentral:rRNA from 1 species
GAAUUCGCCCUUAGAGUUUGAUCCUGGCUCAGGACGAACGCUGGCGGCGCGCCUAACACAUUGCAAGUCGAACGGUGAAGAGGAGCUUGCUCCUCGGAUCAGUGGCGGACGGGUGAGUAACACGUGAGCAACCUGGCUCUAAGAGGGGGACAACAGUUGGAAACGACUGCUAAUACCGCAUAACGUAUCGGGAUGGCAUCUUCCUGAUACCAAAGAUUUUUUCGCUUAGAGAUGGGCUCGCGUCUGAUUAGAUAGUUGGCGGGGUAACGGCCCACCUAGUCGACGAUCAGUAGCCGGACUGAUAGGUUGAACCGGCCACAUUGGGACUGAGACACGGCCCAGACUCCUACGGGAGGCAGCAGUGGGGGAUAUUGGACAAUGGGGGCAACCCUGAUCCAGCGACGCCGCGUGAGGGAAGAAGGCUUUCGGAUUGUAAACCUCUGUUGACGGAGAAAAAAAUGAUGGUACCCGUUUAGAAAGCCACGGCUAACUACGUGCCAGCAGCCGCGGUAAUACGUAGGUGGCAAGCGUUGUCCGGAAUUACUGGGUGUAAAGGGAGUGUAGGCGGGAUAUCAAGUCAGAAGUGAAAAUUACGGGCUCAACUCGUAACCUGCUUUUGAAACUGACAUUCUUGAGUGAAGUAGAGGCAAGCGGAAUUCCUAGUGUAGCGGUGAAAUGCGUAGAUAUUAGGAGGAACACCAGUGGCGAAGGCGGCUUGCUGGGCUUUUACUGACGCUGAGGCUCGAAAGCGUGGGGAGCAAACAAGAUUAGAUACCCUGGUAGUCCACGCCGUAAACGAUGAUU